rnacentral:rRNA from 1 species
GUGGGGAAUAUUGGACAAUGGGCGCAAGCCUGAUCCAGCAAUGCCGCGUGAGUGAUGAAGGCCUUCGGGUCGUAAAGCUCUUUUACCCGGGAUGAUAAUGACAGUACCGAGAGAAUAAGCUCCGGCUAACUCCGUGCCAGCAGCCGCGGUAAUACGGAGGGAGCUAGCGUUGUUCGGAAUUACUGGGCGUAAAGCGCACGUAGGCGGUUACUCAAGUCAGAGGUGAAAGCCCGGGGCUCAACCCCGGAACUGCCUUUGAAACUAGGUGACUGGAAUCUUGGAGAGGCGAGUGGAAUUCCGAGUGUAGAGGUGAAAUUCGUAGAUAUUCGGAAGAACACCAGUGGCGAAGGCGACUCGCUGGACAAGUAUUGACGCUGAGGUGCGAAAGCGUGGGGAGCAAACAGGAUUAGAAACCCUAGUAGUCC